CGUUGACAUCAAGAGCGAUGUGUGAUGGUAAAACUGGGCAUACAAAAUACGUUUAAUUCCGCAUCAUGUCUGCGGAUUGUUAGAGCAUUAGAGGAAGGGAAUGCAAGUGAGUACCUGAUACGGAUAAUAAAAUCCUACCUAUCUCAGAAAGAAAUAGUAGCAGGAAGCGGAGACAGAUUUGAAAGAACAUGUGGUGUACCUUAAAACUCGAUACUGUACCGAUAUUGUGGAACGUCUACGAUAAAAUCUUAAGGACGCAGAUGGAAGGAGGGGUAAAUAUGAUAGCGUAUGCCGACGAUUUGGCGGUGGUUAUUACUGUAAGGACAAAAGCGAUUGUAGAAGAAAAAGCCAGUUAUGCGGUAGAGAGAGUGGUAGAACAGUUAAAUACCAUGGGAGUCCGGAUUGCUACCCACAAGACAGAAAUUGUGGUACUGCAGGAGAGAAGGAAAGCUCGAAAAAUGAACGUAAAGGUAGGGAUUGAGGGAGUGACAACAUCUGUAACCUUGACACAGACCUGAGGAUGACUUGUCAUGUUAGAAAAGGGGUGGAGAAAGAAAUUUUCACGACCAAACGAAAAAAAAACUGAAAGAGAGAGGAAAGGCGAACAUGUGGUAAUGCAGGACUGAGAUGAGAGGAACUACUGAGAAAUGGUGAAGGGUACAGAUAGUGAUGUAAAAAGUAAUAUUACCGGUAAUUUAAGUAUAUUACGUAAUAUUACCUGCUAAGUUACCGUAAUAUUACCCGUAAGGUAACCCUCUAAAUACAGAUUAAAAUAUUGUUCAACAUCGGCUAUAAGAGACAUCUAUCGUCCAAGAGUUCAGUUACAAUUGCUCUAUGAUGUCUGUAAUAUCAAGAAAAUCGGGGAAUACCUAGGGACUUGGAUUAAAUAUUUUGAAACAAAUGCUCCAAUUGAAAGGUUUUUGGAAAUAGAAGUUGCUAUCUCGACAAUUAUUAUCAACAUCGAUACUUCAAGAUGAGCAGGACACAAUUAAAGGUAUUUUAAUGUCAAGAAUGAAUAAAUCGAUAAAACCGAUACAUAUAGCUGCUAAUUUGCUAGAACCAGCAAGUAGAGGACGAUAUUUAAGCCCAGAACAAAAUUUGAUUGCCACAGAAUUUAUUUUUGAAAUAACUAAAAGUCAUCCGAGGCAUAAUGAUCCUGAAAACAGUAACUACUAAACUUGCCGAAUAUACAAAGUGGAAAGCGGUUUAUUUGCAAAAGACUUGGUCAUCUCUAGUGAAAAAUGAAAUGGCGUUACGUGGUGGUCAGGAAUCUGUUCCAGUAAAAGCUUGAGCUCACUAGCUUCGGAUAUAUUAAACUUGCCAGAAGCUACGGAAAGAACUUUCAGCACGUUGGUAUAAUCAAUAAAAUUUUAGAAUUUAGUACUUUAUUUAUAGACAAGGAAAAAAGACAGUCAAAGAAGAAAUCGACUGACCGUUGAAAGAGCUGAGGUGCCAUCUCCUCCACGUCCAGAGAGGAAGAAACGCGAACGGAUGGGAGAAAGUUUGAAGUUUGAAAGGGAAGCAGAGAGGCAUCAAUAAAGAAGAAGAACGAGCGGAGGUCCAUCCUCCCGUUGUCCAGCCGAGCAACGAGCAGGAAAAAGAUGAACGAGAAUUUGAGGGGAAGAAGGAAGAAGUGACAGUAUGGCUGUAGCUUGUAAAUGCCUGUUGGCGGUUCCGGAAUAGACGAGGACAGGGAUUUUUAGUGGGUCGGACACCCAUGCAUGGACUCUAACCCAAUACUAUCUAACCGCUCAAGAUCGUCAGGCCGGAUGACUGUUAGCAGAUUUUCACCGAUCUCAUAAUAAAAAGCAUAAAUAAAAUAAACCAAACCAACAAAUCAUAGAAAAUCCUCAGCAUUCACAAUUUCUGUCACUGUUCUUCAUAUAAUCUUUGCAUGAGUCCACUGAAAGACCUGUUUCAUAAUCUCAUCUCUAGAAGAGCAAAUUGUGUGGUAAUUUUGUUUAACGUAUCUUAUUGGUGCUGCUACUUCAUGCAUCACGUUUCGCUAUGAUUUACGUCCAUGUAUGACUAAUACCACUUUUCAAGUUGACUUUUUGAAAAGAAGAUGAAAGGUAAAAAGGUUCUUGUAUUAAGCGAAUUUUCGAGGUUUGCUACUGUUUAUGUUAUUUCCUUUAUAAGAAAGUUAUGAUUGGGAUUUGUUGCAAAAAUUAUGGUUAAACUCUGGUUAUAUUCAAUAAUAAUGGCUUUUUAGCCAUUAACGGGUGCUACCAAUUCAGUAUUUACGGAUCUAAAAAAUCUAAAAUUCCUUAUAAAAAAAAGUAGUGUUAUCAACCCAGAAACUUAUCUACAAACUCAUUAUAUCAAAAUUUGUUUAUAAAUAACUGUUAUUUUGUUAAUCAUAUCUUUUGGAUUGAACUUGCCAUAAAGUAAUAAACAAUGGAAAUUAUAAAACAAGAUAUUACAGAGUAAUAAAGAAAUAUAUUUUUUAACUUCUCGAUAAAAUUGGGUUAUAAA